CGAAGGAUCCUAGCGUUGUCCGGAUUUACUGGAUUUAAAGGGUGCGUAGGCGGACUAAUAAGUCAGUGGUGAAAGCCGGUAGCUUAACUAUCGAAUUGCCAUUGAAACUGCUAGUCUCGAGUACGGUUGAGGUGGCUGGAAUGUAUCAUGUAGCGGUGAAAUGCUUAGAUAUGAUACAGAACACCAAUUGCGAAGGCAGGUCACUAAACCGUAACUGACGCUGAGGCACGAAAGCGUGGGGAGCAAACAGGAUUAGAUACCCUGGUAGUCCACGCCCUAAACGUUGAUAACUCGCUGUUGGCGAUAUACAGUCAGCGGCUAAGCGAAAGCGGUAAGUUAUCCACCUGGGGAGUACGGCCGCAAGGUUG
rnacentral:rRNA from 1 species